rnacentral:rRNA from 1 species
GACAGAGGGUGCAAACGUUGUUCGGAAUUACUGGGCGUAAAGCGCGUGUAGGCGGCUUUGCAAGUCGGGUGUGAAAUCCCACGGCUCAACCGUGGAAGUGCACUCGAAACUGCAAGGCUAGAGUCCUGGAGAGGAAGGUGGAAUGCUUGGUGUAGAGGUGAAAUUCGUAGAUAUCAAGCGGAACACCGGUGGCGAAGGCGGGUCUCUGGGCCGAUACUGACGCUGAGGAGCGAAAGCGUGGGGAGCGAACAGG